rnacentral:lncRNA from 1 species
GAGUUUGACUGGGCUACUAUCGGUAGUAAACUGCUCGGUUUACUACCGAUUUAUUUUUGAUGAUAGAGCUUCCAAAUCGACGAUCGGCACAGUUGAACAUGAUCUAGACCAUUUAAAUUAUCUAAAAAUCAAAUUUUAUGAUUUUUUGGCAUCACCAACUGAACGAUCAAAUGGUCACAAAAUCUAUAAUUUUAAUGGCCGAUAUGGUGCGUUUGCUUGUUUAACGGUAUAAAAGAGUUCAAAUCAACUUAAUUUUUGUUAAAAAAUUCUUUAAACUAUUUAAAAUAAGGUCUAGACUCUAGAUCUCAAAUAUAAAAAUUGCAUCAUCACUUUUUGAAGGAUAUUCAUUUCCAGCCAUUCAUUUUUCUGUUCACUUGAUGGACAAGAGAACAAUAUCGAAAAUGUGUGUAAUUUGAUUUUCAGAUAGUUUAAAUAGUUUAGAUCAUGUUUAACGGUGUCGAUCAUCAAUUUUGAAGCUCUAUCAUCGAAAACAAAUCGGUAGUAAACCGAACCGUUUACUACCGAUAGUAUUCUAGCAAAACUCUCUCUAUGAGUUUGAUUGGGCUACUAUCGGUAGUAAACUACUCAGUUUAUCGGUAGUAAACUACUCAGUUUACUACCGAUUUGUUUUUGAUGAUAAAGCUUCCAAAUCGACGAUUGGCACUGUUGAACAUGAUCUAGACCAUUUAAAUUAUCUAGAAAUCAAAUUUCGUUUAUUGGGUAAAUUUGCUAGCCAACAAAAUCAAACCAACAAAAACCUACUGUAAUUACUCUCUCUCGCUCUCUUUCACUUGCUCGCAUAAUCACUUUUCCUAAAUUAUUUUUCUUAGCGUUAUGAAAUUGUAUCAUGCAUUUUUUUGUAUGUUAAACUAUUAGGCAUAUUUCUUAUAUCAAAUUUUAAGUAAUGUUUCAUAAAAUUUAAACUAUAGAUUGUAAGAUGUUAAAAUUUUCAAGCGACUCGUUUAGAACUCGAGCUCGCUCGACUCAAAAUUAGGCUUGCUCGAGCUUAAGUCGAAUUAAUUUUAAGUUGAGCCUGAACCUAAAUGUAGGUUCAAAAUUAUGUCCAAUCCAAGCUUGAGCUGAGAUAAGUUCACUCAAGUUCGGCUCAUUUCCACCUCCCAGUAGAGAUAAGCUUGCAGGGUUUUAAAUAAUUGAAAAAGUUAAUAGUGCUUCUAGAAAUUUUUGUCCAGCAAUAGUUUUGUAGAGGCUUCAAUUAAAUGAAUCAAACAAAGAUCUUUUUUUGGCUAUGUUACAAACUGUAUAGUACCUUUAAUUAAGUGUUGUCUUACUAGUGUUAUAUACAUUAGAAGAAAUAUGCUAUGCUAUGCUACUUUUUCUAAUACACUUCUCUUUUCAACAGAAGCAAAAGCUCAUUUACUAUUUAAUUAUUAAUUUGUUUGCGUAUCGCAAUAUGCAAUUGCUCUUGUACGGGCCAUUUGCCCUCGCGGCACUUAACCGUAUACAAUUUCUGUGUUACCGACCGUCCCUAGAGCAAGUGGCAAAGGGCUUGGUGGUUGGUACCUGAGAUCCAAAUUCGAAUCCUAGUUGAUUCACAUUUUCAGCUAAGUUUAUUUCUAAAUGAAAUAAAUGAAGCGGAUAGCGUGCUACCUAUCUCUCAAAAAAAAAAAAAGAAGAAGAAAUCUGUGUUAACAUACGACGAAAUUUGAAAUUGGAGCUUCUGCAUCAAAGUAUGCAUAUAGCAAACAAGCACAAGUUUCUAUUCCUAGGUUAAGAAUCACAUUUUAGUUUUUGUACCGAGUUCUAAAUUUUUUUCGUUUGCUAAUGCUUAAUAAGAGGUACGAGUCUAUAACUGAAACCAGGAGCAAAAAUAGGUAUGCAAUUUCUCCUGUUGUGGGGUAUCACAACGCUUAAUUAUCAUAAUCUGAUUAGAAUUAUUAGUCCCAUACUUGGAUAAAGUCCUAAUAUAUUGGUUUAUAUCGUUCUUAAUUAAUUUAAUCUUUAUACAACUAAAUCUCCUCUCUGAGAUACGCAUUAAAAUAAUAUAUUCCCUUCCUCUCUCAGCUGUUGAUGUUACAUGCCUUUGCAAUUUUGCGCAAGGGUUUGUAGCAUGGCCUUGCACCUAUUCUCGAUCCCUCCAAGGCACGGGACUUGACGCCGGAGCAACACUUAGGCUUAGUUUAGUUCGAUAAUGAAUAAGAACUGCUUAUUUCAGAGAGAGAUAAAGUUCAGAUAUAAGCAUGAAAUAUAAGUGAUAAAGUUCAGAUAUAAGCAUAAAUAUAAGUUUUUGUUUGGAUGAAAAUUAUGCUAUUUCUGAGAAUAAAAUAAAUAGUGUUUGUAUGUUAGAUUGGAAUGGCAAAAAUAAAAAAAAAAUUAUAAUUUUCAAUUAAUAAUAUUUUUUUAUCUAAUUAAUUAAUAUUAAAAUAUUAGUUAAAACUAAUUUAGUAAAUUAAAAAUUUUAUUAGCCAUGAAUAUUGUAUAAAAUUAUGAAAAAAAGAUAUUCAUAGAAACAUCCUGUCUCUUCAGAUUCCUCUCCCUCUAAAAGUGACAUAACAUAGGAAAGGUACGUGAACUAACUCAUUGUCGGAAUACUAAAUCUGAGAUUGAGAAAUAUAAAUGAGAGAAAUAAUAUUUUUAAGUGGGAAAUUGAAGCUUCCGAAUUUGUCACUGAUCAUCUAAUUGUUAGACAAUAUUACUAUCUUUAGAAGAGAUAUAUCGCGCGGUUUGGAUUGAUUUAUUUGGUUUUGGUAAAAAUACUUCUAUUUAGUUUAAAUCGUCUUGAAUUAAUUACUAAAAAUAAGAUAUAAUCAUGAUUAAUUUAAUGUUAAAAAGCAUUAACCUAAGAUAAUAAUAUAAUAUAAUUAAUAUCUCUCAUUAUUUCAUUAUUAUUUAAAAUUAACUAAUACAUAAUAUUUUCCUUCUACUUCUAAGUUCUAACCUUGGUUGCUAAUUAAGAUAGGAACAAGGGACUGUCAUACACACAAUAAGAAUUAGGUAUUAAAAUCAUUAAAUGAAGAUAUAAAUAAUGGCCUAGUGUCUUAUACUGCAAAUUAAUACAUUAAACUUUUCAUUUGUGUGCUAUUCAAAAAAUUAAAUAUCUUAUUUAAUAUAUAUAUAAAAAAAUAUAAAAGCGAAUGAAUUUGGGAAUCUAGUUUACUUAACUUUACUUUAAUAAAAAAAUUGAGCCAAUGAAUAUUCUCUCCAAAAAAAAAAAAAGGUCGAGCCAAAAUAUACGUACCAAAUUUGGUAUAAAUAUAAUACAAAUGCAUAUAUAGAGAAGAAGCCAUGAGCAUGGUGUCUUGAGAGGUAAUACAAACAAGAACAAUUAGAUAACGACGUUGGAGACAACAAUAGAGACAUGCCAACCUGUGGAAAACCCUAAUUUCAUUUACCCAAAAAUGACCGUGGUCGAUCACUAUGUCAAAGUCAUAUAUGAACAAUAAUGGAGGAACCGUCGUAAUAAUAUAUGCUGUGGAAUUAAUAUUAUACAUUAUUUAGGCGCAUUAUGCAAAUUCUGCAGCGACAUCAAAAUAUUUGGGACGUUAAUUGAUGGAAUGUGCUAAAGUUGAAAAUUUUACCCACUAAUUGCUAUCGCCUUAAUUUUAUUGGUGACAAAUUAUGAUGAUGGGACCAUGAUAACUACAAAGCUACAUACCUGAUGUUGCCCAAGUUCUCCAAUGAAAACCAAGUAAGUUAAUGCAUUUAUAUACACUAAUUUGCCCCUAAAUAGACAGUUUUGAAGAGGCCCCUUAACCAUCUUUUAUUUUUUAUUGACACAUUUUAACUUAAUUACUAAUACUUUUUUGUAGUUGAGUUAUUUUAAUUAGUUAAAUUAUUUUUUAAAACCUAUUGGCUCUAUUAGCUGUUAGUUGCAGCUGUUAAUCAUCCUAUAUUUCUCUAUAUAUGGGAUUAAAUUUAAUGGAAUCAUCAAUAAACUCUAGUUUAAUUGAUUAUAGGAAAGAAAUUAAGUUUUGGGGCCCUUCAAUACAUCAUGACAUACAGACGAGGGGUUCCUUAUAUAUCAUAGAGUCAGUUUUUAAAAUUUUUAAAAUUCCAUUGUUCCUCGCCGAAUUAUUUUUGUUGAUGUAUAAUUAAGCACUACUUUAUUUAAUAGAGCAUUAAGCUAAAGAAUUUAGCAUUUUAUAACCUAACUGUAAUGAGGAUAAAUUUCACGACUAUUCCGAAGUUGCUAGAAACGAAAGUUUACAGUUUGAUGCUGAGAAAAUCACAAGCAAUCUUAGUUUUAUACAGUUCGUACACCUGAAUAAUUGCAACUAGACCCAACAUAUCCAUCCAAGGGUCAUUCUCUUUCACAUUAGUUUUAUCAUUUUUUUUAAAAAAAAAUACUGAAAUCCAAGAAGGGUUGUUCACAAACCCUAGCGGUGAGUGUUUCAAUCGGAGGAUGGAGAAUUAUAAUCUUAUUACAAAUUUUUAUGGGGUAUAGAUUUAGCAUUUCCCGUUGUAACGGAGUUGAAUGUAGUGGAGGAGAUCAAUAUGUCACAAAUAUAUAUGAGGUUAAUUUCUUGUGAAAUUUAAAAAGAAAAAAAAUGUAGCUAGGUUUCUAUAUUCUACCUUAUCUAAUUAGUAUGAAAUUUCCCCCCUAUUUGUGUAGUUUAGUUUGUUCCAAUUAAUUAGUUUCAAUCUAAUAUACGUUUAACUGUAUUUAUAAUGUUUUCAAACAAAAAGAUUUUCAAGUUACUCAAAAAGACACAUAUAAUAUAUGUUGGUCAAAAAGACAUAUAUAAUUAAUUUAGAAAACUAAGUGUACUGGAUCAUGAUGCUGCAUAAGAAACAAAUCUAGCCAUUGAAAGAAUCUAUUAAUUUGUGGGCAUUGCAUUUGAUACUCUUCCUCUACGCCAAAUGUUUAGGUGGUGUAUUGUGAAACAUUUUCCUGUGGAAAAAAUAUAUAUAUUCAUGAAAAUGCUUUUUCGAUUAAAAAGUCAAAUUCCUUUUCGUAGCGUGAGUCAAUGAAAUACCACAACUAAUUAAUUCACCUUGUAAAUCACUAUGGACCCUCUAUUUUAUGCAUCUUAUCCAAUUUUUGAAUAUUUUUUAACAGGUGUGUUACAAGCACUUAUUAGGAGAACAUACCCUUCUAUAGUAAAGACCUUGGAGAUAGAUGAUUAAUUAUAAACACAUCAAUUCAAUGGAAAACAAGAAAACUUUUAUACUUGCAAAAUGCUCCUGCUGAAGAUAACCAUGGUUAAAUAUUAAAGAUGCCCAAUAAUGGAGGAAGUGUCAUGAUCAUAAAAAUUGAAUGAGCUAACACUCGAACCUUCUUAGGUGAAUUAUGUAAUGGCGAUCGAGGGACAUGAAGAAUAGUUAGGUACAAUAAUUGUUAUGCAAGGUAUAGCUUGCAUGUUGAUUAAUUGCAUCAAAUUUUCAAAUGUAAUCAAUUAAAGGGAGAUAUAAUUAAUUAAGAUUUCUGUGCGGCGCCUACAGGACUAAUUAAAAAAAUAAAGAAAAAAAAUCACAGAACAUAAUUGUUUCAUAGAUUCAUAAGUUGAGGGGAGUAAUGGCGAUGGGGAAACUUUAGACACUAGAGGCAACCACACUGUCGUAUGCAAAUUUAACCCUACAAAUUGAAUUUUUUUUGUUUGCUAGUAUGCAAGGCAUUUAUUAAUAUUUUGUCUAGUAGUUUGAAGGCUUAUUCUGUGGAGAAACACCUAGUAAUUACGAAAUCCGAGGACCAUUUCAAAAUAGUUAUUUGAGGUCAUUCGAGAGUUAUACUUCGUUGGAAACUGCAUGUCAAUUUUGGUCUUAUCUCACUUAAUUAACAUCGCUCUAGAGUCGUCCAAACUACAUGUCAUCUUACGUAACAUCUCUCUCUCUCUCUCUCUCUCUCUCUCUGUGUGGGGGUUCAGUUGCCUUUCUAUAUGUUCAGCAAAGAGAACCAAAUUAAGAAAAGAGAACUAGCAAUCUACGUAAACAAAUACUAGAUUUUUGUUUGGUUAGUUGUGAGAAGAAAGGUGCUCACUGUGAACAAUCUGCUGAAACGUGGGUGGUGUGGCGAGGAGACUUGUGUUUUCUGUUUGAACGUGGGUGAGACCAUUGAUCACCUCUUCAUGGGUUGUGAUGACACCAAAGCGCUGCUGGAGGUUUUUCUUCCAAAUAAAUCAGGCCUGCGUAAUUGUAUUUCUGCUAGUCUGCUCUGGAAGCUAAGUAGAAGAAAAGAGGGAGCGAUUGGAGGAAAAGAGUCAACAAUCGCCACAACAUGGUGGGUCGUUUGGUUGGAGCGCAAUAGACGAAUCUUCCAGGAAACCAAACGAACGACGAGUUUAUUAGCGUCUGAGAUCCGCUCGCUUAGAAACAUCUAGGAUCUUUUUUGUUAUAUAUAUAUAUAUAUAUAUAUAUAUAUAUAUAUAUAUAUAUAUAUAUAUAUAUAUAUAUAUAUAUAUAUAUAUAUAUAUAUGAUUCUUGCCAAUACCUUCACAGGCCAUAAAGAAGGAAAGGAAUAUUCCCUAUCGGAUCAUCAGAUGCUUAAAAUAUGCUUGUGUGACGAGUUGAGGUGACAUUUUGGAUAUAUUUUUAAUCAAAUUGGGCAACAUUUUGUAUCAUGCUAUGGGCAAAAGAAGAGCACAUCGAAUUUGAAAUCUCAAUAUGUUUGACGCCGUCGUGAAUGCCAGGUAUAUAUGUCUUUUUUUUUUUUUUUCCCCAUUUUUUUUUGCUACGCUUUUAAGGAAAUACCCAUGCGGCUAAUUAAUUAGUGGAAAUUAUUAUAAGGUCUCUCCGUUAAUUAAUAAAUGGAGGACCUUUUUCUCGUAUUAAAAAAUGGAAAGAUUGGUCUCUUACGACUCACAUCAAAUGUCACCCAUUGGAACAAGAAAUCGACCCGAGUGUUUGAUUCUUUUCUUUUCCAUGCUUUAUCAUUGAAAACCCACUAAUUCGGGGGCUAAUUACAACAUUGUUUGUAGGUCCCUAAACAGUUAUUAGUUGUUUCUGCAGUGUUUUCAUAUGAUUUACUAUUCUUAAAACUCUGAAAAUUCAUUUUAACUUUUGCUACUACCAAAACUUUACUUUUGAUUCACAAGUGUUUUAUUUUUAAUGGGUGCAUUAGGGAUGUCAAUGGGUAUGGAACUAUAGAUAUCCGAAAUUUUAUCUGAACCCGAACCCGAACCCAAAUGAAACGGAUAUAUCCGAUGCUAAAUGGAUAUGGAUUCGGAUAUGGAUAUCAAAAAUAGAAACCCGACGGAUAUGAAUUCGAAUAUAGAUUUUGACUGCACCCGACCCGAACUCGAACCCGAUCCGAACCCGAAUUUAUUUUGUAUUAUAUAAUAUAUAUACCCGACCCGAACCCGAACCCGACCCGAACCCGAAUUUAUUUUGUAUUAUAUAUAUAUAUGAUGUUAUAUUUGAAUUUGUAUUUUAAAAAUUUAGAUUUAAUAUAAUGUAUUUUGAAAUACUAAAAAGAAAAAUAAUUGUUUCGGGUUCUAAUUUUCGGGUUCGGGUUCGGGUUCGGGUUUCGGAUUUUUGGUCGGAUUCGGGUUUGGAUAUGAAUUUUUAAAAUCNAUGUUUUAAUAUCUUCUUCAAAGUUUUGUCAUUAUUUUAAUGUGGUUGAAAUAAGAUCGAAUUUUUUGCAACUUUGGAUUCGUUUGAAGCAAAAUCUCUCAAAAUUAAGGAAUUAAUUAUAUAUGGUUGCAAUACAUUUGAGUUUUAUUAGUACAAUGGAGGUCGAGGGCUUACCAUGUAAUCUCAUAGGGCUAUGAUGAAAUAUAUCAAUAAACUCUUUUUUCUACAAUUCUUUUGAGAAUUAUCACAACCUCUUAAUUAGCCAUUUUCAUUGAUUUUUGCUUAGUCAUUUACCUUCCAUAAAUUUUCAAAAGAGUUUAAAAAAUGACCAAAAUGAAAAUCACAACAUGGCACAAGCAAUAGCCAGCCACUAACUACACUACAUCGAUCGUACCUUAAGGGACCUUAAGAUAUUUUAAUAUACUUUAUUCUUUAAAUCCAUGAAAUGUGAAAAGUUCUGAAAAAUCUGCAAAAGUUUAAACAAAAAUAAAACAUCCAAAAAAAUCUGUAGAAAGUUUGUACAAAUUCUAAACCUAGUUUUAAACCUUUUGGUGUGUCCAUAAUAAAGUUCCUUAGAAAGUUCAUAAAAAUGCCUCCUCUAUUUAAUUGAACGCACAUUGCCCACGAGGCGUAAGUAGACAGUUCGUAAUCUAGCUGCUUUGCAUCAUCAGAAGUGCUAACAUAGAACUAGAUAGUGGAGUAGUGGGUUUAUAUUAAUUGUGGAGUUCAUGAUAACUAGUUUUUAGGAGCACAUGUGUAGUCGAUGCAGUAGAGAACAUAUAUUGAUCGAGUUGGAUUUUCUAGAUACUCAAAUUUUAUUCUUCUAUGGGAAUUCUUGUUUAUAAGCUUGUAAUUUACCAAGGUUGUGGGUUAUCUUGACCCUUAAGUUUUAUUCUUCUAUUUAGAUGAUUAGAGGAGGGAGAGGAAAGAAGAAAUAUUGGCUCAAUUUCAUUAACGAAUUGAAUUAAACAGAUUAUAAUUAGAGGUCCAAAUUAUAAUUAAGGCUCGGACUCCUACUCCGAUUAUGAUAGAACAUAAUAAGUGCUACCCAUAUCAGUAGUGAUACUCCUCUAAAUAUGUACUUUCUUUUUAUGGAAAGUAAAUCCAACUACAUCGUAUCUGAAAAGAGCAAAUGGAGUAUAUCGAAAAUCAACAAUUAAACAAGCUCCUAGUUUCUUUGAAAUGAAAUGAUAUUUAUGAUUGAAGUUUUUUAUAAAUAGAAUUUCUAAGUUUGACCGCAAAUUCAUAGGUCUAAACAACCUUCUUCGAUUGCCUCGAAAUUGUUUAUCAUGAUCUAAGGUUUUAUAAAUAGGAAUUCUAAGUUUGGCAGCAAAUUCAGAGGUCUAAACAAUCUUUGAUUGCCUCGAAAUUGGUAACGAACUUAGUCAGUCUUUAAUUUCGCACUAUGUUCGACCGUUGCGCGCCGUAGCUUAUACUCCUUGACCUGCGCACAUCGAUACAAAAGUCCCCUUGAUCAAAAACCAUGGGAACAAGAUAUAGUCUUUGAACGUUGAUGGCCUUUCCUGCGUAAGUUCUCGUCAAGUUGAUUGAGCCUGAUCACUUAGCCUCGAUGUCUCUGUCGAAACCAGACCUAACCAAUUACACCCUCAAUUUGGGAAGCUAUUCCCUCAUCAAUCCUUCUUGUGUUCAUGAAAUGGAGAAAAACCGAUGAAGCGUUUUGAGGGUAGUAAUGAGAGUAGAUCGACAUCGGCUUGAUGAGGACAUUGGCAAUGGCGGUGUGGACAAUGAGGAGGAUUGAUCGCAAUCGGCGAGUACGACGAGCAGCGAUGUGAUUGGGAAUCAAACUCUGAUAAUAAUUGUUAGGGUUGGUUGAUUCCUAAUGCUCUUGCAGCUAAUUGGGCCUUUACGAGGUGGUAUUCCUACUUCUAGUUUAUGAGUAAUCAAAUUAACUAUGCUACUCUUAAUUGCUGGCUUAGAUGGGUCGGCAUCAAACAGUUCUACAAGUGGUAUCAGUGCAGGUCAUGGGUUCAAUUGCCGUACGCUACAAAUUUAUGCUCGUGUUUCGGAGGAGGGGAGAUUACUGGCUUAAAUGGGCCAACAUCAAGUAAUUGUGGGAGAUUGGGCCAAAUUACAUUUAAAACGGCAGAAGGCCGAGUAGAGCUGACUCACGUUUCAAGUGUCUAAAGACCGUGUUAGUCAGAGUUACAAUCAAAGCCAGGUGCUAUAUGCAUUUACACUUUAAGUGAAUUAGUUGCGUUGAUCUUUAGUUGCAUUAUUUUUUCUAAUAGCGCGAACUUGUAGAAUUAAUGAUUAGGUCCAACAAUCCUAUAUUAAUUAAUUUAGAAGCACGAUUACAUGCAAUCAUCCUAUUUUAAUGGCCCAAAUAUCAUAGAGUUCUGGUAUUAUAAGGAAUCUUAAUAAAGAACUUUGUGUAAUAAGAGUUAUGGUAGUAAUUAAGAUACUGUUAAGACUAAUACUACAAUUUGUACCAGACACGUUGGCCAAUCCGUAUCGUGAUAUAUUUCUAAUAAAAAUAUUGACCAAGUAUCACUAUAAGAAAAUUAAUAUUUAAGGAUUUUUUUUAUAUUUAACGAUACUUAAAAGCGUCCUAAUAUAGUGUAGUGUCAUAUUUGAAAGAGUCGAUUAAAACAUCGGUAAAUGAAGAGUCGCCACGUAUAUCGUCAAGCAUCAGUAAAAUAUAUUCUAAUGCUUUAAAGUAUCAGAAGUUUUUAAAAUCCUAAUGCUUUGAAGCAUCAAAAAAUUAAAAAUAAUAAUAAAAUUUAUUAUUUAAUAAAUUAAUUUAAUAUAAUAAAAAAUUCAUAUAGUGAUACUUUUUGAAAUGUCGGUAUUUACUAUAUUAUAGAGACGCUUGGAAAUAAAUAUAUGUCAUCCAAAAUAUCUAUCUAGUUCUAGGUGCGGUACAAGAUAGGAAUUAACCAUUAGAUAAAUAUAGGUACCCAUCAAAUAUAGAUUGAAAAUUUAAUCCGCUAAAAAUAUAGUAAUCGAACUCAUGAGGCUUAGAAUUAGUUCUUAUCAUGUUACACGAAAGAUAGAAUUUAUUUAUGAGAAUAUUCAUAUGACAAAAACUUAAUACUUUUUUAUUUUACAAUUAUAGUACAUAGUGUGAAAAAUUACUACAACAAAAACGGUCUAUAGCAACAUUUUUAAAUGUCGGUACAGGUCAAAAAAAAGACUGCCGCCUAAAUUACCGACAUUUUUAAAAACUGUUGCUAUAUGUGGGAUCGCUAGGUAUAUAAUAACAGUUAAAGAGUGUCGCUAUAACCUAACAAAGUGCUGCUAAUUUACAAAUAUUUAUUUAAGCAUUUAGCAGCCGCCGGAACUCUACCUCGUUGGCCGCGGUGGCGAAGGAGGACGAGAGGAAGAGAUCUUCGUUUAGGAUUUCAGUCGAUUGAGUGAGGGGAGAAGGAGAAAUGAUAAUCGAUUUUUCUUCUCUUUUUCUUUUCUGUUUGUAAUCGGGCUGAAUGGGCUGGGUGGGGUGGGUUGAAUAGAAUAACCUUUUAUUUUUUGUUGAAUUGAACUUUAUAUUUAGACAUUAGUAGAUUUUUUUUUAAGUUUUGACAUAAAUUAAAAACUUACACAAAAAUGUUCCAAACAUGUGUCCCUAUAAUCUAAUUCUGUUGUACUGAAUUGAAAUACAAUCUCCCACAAAAUAGCAGAUGGUAGCAACUGCCAUGCUCCUCGAUCGGAGAAAGAACUUAACUAAGAUUUUCUUUGCCUGUACGUUAUUAAUUUCUACUUUACAAAUAUACAUAGCAACUAUAUAUAUAAAGAGAGAGAGGGUUGAGCUGGAAUAUUACUAUCGGUAGUAAACGUGCUCCAUUACCACCUAUUUGUUUUCAAUAAUGGAGCUUCCAAAUCGACGAUUGGUACCGUUGAAAAAUGAUCUAUACUACUUAAAGUAUCUAGAAAUCAAAUUUCAUACUUUUUCAAUAUUAUAUUCUUGUCCAUCAAGUAGGCGUAAAAAUGAACGACUGAAAAUGGCUAUCCUCUAAAAAGUGAUGAUAGGAAUUUUCUAAUCAAGAUCGAGAGUAUAGAUCUUGGUCUAAAUAGUUUAAAUAAUUUUCUUAUCAAAACUCAAUUGAUUUGGAUAGCUUUACACCGUUAAACGAAAAAACGUCUCAUAUCGACCAUUAAAAUUACAAAUUUUGUAAUCCUUUGAUCAUUUGGUCAAUGAUAUCAAAAAGAUUUGAAAUUUGGUUUCCAGAUACUUCAAGCGAUAUAGAUCAUGUUCAAUGGUGUCGAUCAACGAUUUGAAGGUUCUAUCAUCGAAAACAAAUGGGUGGCAACGGAGCCCGUUUACUACCGUUAGCAUUCCAGCUCAACUAUAUAUAUAUAGUGUAGAGCUACUAUGCUAUCAGAAGUAUAGAGGGUUUUAUGCUUCCGACUUUUUGACCCUUGGAUUAAGAAUUGUACGAUUGGGAAGAUUGCGGUCCCCCGUAGGGUUGAGUAGUACCCCUAGGAUUGAGUGAUCCCCACAGUAAUAGAAGUAAUCCAAAGGCUAGAAAUAAUCAAAGAGAUUAAUCUAAGGGCCAAAAAGUCAGAAGCACCGGAUCCUCUGUACUUCCGAUAGCAUAUUAGCUCUACUCUCUCUCUCUCUCUCUCUCCAUAUAUAUAUAUAGAGCUAGGCUGGUAUACUAUCGGUAGCAUGGAGCCCUCCGUGCUACCAAGUUGUACUCAUAAGUUUUUGGCCGUUUGAUCUACCCUUUAAUCAUUUCACCCGUUAUAUUAUACUAUUCAACCAACCACCUACUCAACCCUAGGGGGCCCACUAUCAACCUAACCGUAACCACUUUCAUCCUAUCCGCACAUUUUUUCAUCUGAACGGCCGAAAAGUUAUAAGUACAAAGGGCUCUAUACUCAUAUGAGUAUAAUAGCCCCAGCCUAUAUAUAUAUAUAUAUAGAGAGAGAGAGAGAGAGAGAGAGAGUAGGUCUUGUGUGCUUUUGGGAAUACGGAGGCAUCCGUGCUUCUAUGCCAUUUUCGACGAUGGAGCUUUUGAAGCCAUGAUCUGCUCUAUUAGACUUGAUUUAGUGGAUUUGAAGUACCUAGUGAUCGAAAUGGUUUAAAGUCAACGGCUGAAAAUAAAAAUCUCAUAAAAAAUGACGAUAUAAUACUAAAAUUUUCGAUCAAAGAUAUUGAUCUUGCAGUAAUAGUAUAAAAAAUUUUCUAUAAAAAUUUCGACUGAUUUGAAGUUAAACGUGCAAACGAUAUACGUCAACCAUUAAAAAUUGUUGAUUUUUAAUCCUUUCGAUCACUAGGUAAAUGAUAUCAAAAAUCGUAAAAUUUAUUUUCUAAAUACUUCAAAUAUAUUAGAUCAAGUCUAAUGGAGCAGAUCGUCGAUUCGGAAGCUCUAUUAUCAAAAACAGCUUAGGAGCACAGAGGCCUCCGUACUUCUAACAGCACACAAGACCUACUCUAUAUAUAUAAUUGAGCUCCUAUACUCUUAUGGUAUUAAGUUAUUGGUGUUUGUAAGUUUUCGGUCCAUGGAUUAAGAGAUGUACAGUUAGAAUAAUAGUGGUCAUCAAGGGUUGAGUGUUGGUUGGUUGAGUAAUAUGAUCAAAUAGAUAGAAAUGAUCAAAAGAAUAGCUCUAACGGUAAAAAUUACAAGUANUAUGAUCAAAUAGAUAGAAAUGAUCAAAAGAAUAGCUCUAACGGUAAAAAUUACAAGUACUAAGUGCUUGGUGCUUUUAAAAGCAUCAUAGCCAAUAUAUAUAUAUUUAUAUAUAUAUAUAUAUAUAUAGAGAGAGAGAGAGAGAGAGAGAGAGAGAGAGAGAGAGAGAGUUAAGCUGAAAUGCUAUCAUUAGCAAACAGACUCCGUGGCCACCCUUUUUUUCAAUGAUGAAGCCUGUAAAUCGAUGAUCGACAGUAACUCGCAAAUACCAGGCAAUAUGAGACUCAUCUCACUGACCUUAAUCGAUCUUGUAAGAGAGCCGCGCUUUACCCACAACAGUCAUCAACAUAAGAGUCUCACUCUUUCUGCUGUAUUACGGGACUCAGCCGAGACUCAUCAUACACUUACGACCGGUAAUUAGCUCUGAUAUCAAUUAUGACGCUCCACUUCCUAUGGAUCAUCUAUCUUAAAACUAUUCUAGUCCUAACACACUUAACAAUUUUAAUCUUUUGGGCCUAACUGUCGCCCAAAAUUAUAUAGCCGAGUUAAUAAUUUUUAACCUUAUUAUAUCUUAUAUAUAGGAUUACUUGUUCUCACAUUAAAAAUAUUGAAUUUAAACAUUUACCAACAUUAACUUUUUUAAACAGUAAGAUAAAAUAACACCUUUAUCUUUUAUUAACCAAUGAUUAAUUCUUUUUAUUUUUUAAAAAAUAAAGUACCGAAUUUUUUCUCAAUAUCAAAUCCAUAAAAAUACUCGUCCAUGGGCCUACCUCAUGAAUUAUUUGUGUACUUGACACGCGCGAUAAUGACCCACAAUUAAUGAGUCACCAUCACCUCUCAAAUUGAAGUUGGCCCCAUUACAGAUCUAGGAAAGAAGAACCUUACUUCUCUCCACCCAACUCCCAAAAAUACUUAAAACUUUAUAAAAAUUAGGAUUCGGAUGUUAUAAUUGCUUUUUGUUGCCUUCUUCGAAAUAGCUUGCCCUUGUCGACGUGCCGUAUCCACGAAAAAUCUGUAUGAUUUAUCACCGCAUGUUUUUCAGGUGCGUCGGGCGGGAUGGAGCUUGAUGCAAAGUGAGGAAUCCACAAAAGAAAUAAAUAAGAGAUAAAAUCUCAAAAUAUAAGCUGGUUUAUUAAUUCAUGCAACUUCAAUUUUAGUACCCUUUUUUUUUUGGCAUGCAUGUGCUCUGCUCUAAAACUCUCCAAAAUAGCACAAGGCUCAAGUCACGCAAAAGUCCUAAGAUAUGCGCACAACCCACUGCGAACAGAAAUAACAGCUUAACGAGUUGAACAUAUAAAAUUCUAAAAAGAUUCUAAAGAAAAGUGAAGGAUAAUACAACAUAUGCAUCUUGCAGUUGCAUUGAGUUUUGCACAGCAUUAUACAAACUCUGAACUUUGCAACGCCUUGUACAAACUCCGAACUGUGUUGCACAAGUAAAAUUUUUAGGCGUACACAGAUACUGCACAGAGUUGCACAAUUGUUCCACAAAGUUGCAUUAGUUUAUCGCUGUAUUUGUACAAGUACUCUAAACUAGGGGUAUCAACGAGUCAAACACAUGCUGACUCGUAAAAAUAUUGAGUCAAAAAAUUUAGCUCGUAUUAGGCUCAUUUAUUAAUGAGCCAAAGCCGAGAUUGCUUACAAAAGUUAAAAAAAUUAAAAAGAAUAUAUAUAUAGAAAAUAAAAUUUUUAGAUCUUACCUAUUAAAUUUUGACGUAAUUCUUAAAAUUUUAUAUAUAAAUGAGCUUUUUCAUAAUUGAGUUGUGAUUUAGGUUAGACUAAAAAUCAAAUAAUAAAAAUUUAUAUUAUCUAUAUAUAAUUAUGUAUUAUUUAUAUAUAUAAAUAUAAAAUAUAUGUAUUUGAGCUAUUAACGGGCCGAACGCAAGCGAGCUGAUCCAGCUCAUAUUCGGCCCAUUUAUUAAACGAGCUGAAAAAUUCAACUUAUAUUCGGCUCGUUUACUAAACAAGCUAUUCGAUAUCAAGCUCAUUUCGAGCGAACACAAACUGGCUCGCAAACAACGAGCUGAAUUUCCACCCCUAACCCAAUCUGCUAUGGCGUCACCCCCUCCGAAGCAGCACAAACUUCUCAAGGAAGGAAGGUAUAAUAAACCGUUCCUCACUUCUUUAAUAUUAGUACAUUAUAUUACACUAUCUAUUACCAUAAAACUUCAAGCUACCCCACAACAUCAUAAUGGAUUUGAAAGUAAAUUUCAAACUAGGAAGAUUAUUCUUAUUUUUAAAUUGUGCGUAAUUAAAUCUCACAUCCAACCAAUCCAAAAGUUUAGCGAACUCUUUUAAAUUUUUAAUAUUAAUAAAACUAAAAAGUGAUGAGACUCAAGUGCAUGAAAAAAGAGCUUUUGGAUGAAGAAUAUAUAAAAUUUAUACCCACUUUUAGGUGUAACCAUUGCUCUUUCAUUUUUGUCCGCAUACCGAAUAAAAUACAAUUCAAGCAAAAUAACUAAUCAUACUAUCUAAAAAAUAUAUACAUGUCAAAAUAAUAACUACUAUUAUUAAAAAUUAAUGAUAAUAAUAAUUAUAUUAUAUAUAUAUAGAGAGAGAGAGAAUAGGGCUACUGUGCUCUUAGUAGUACGGAGGCCUCCAUAGUCCUAAACCAUUUUUCAUCAUAAAAUUUUCGGAUUGACUAUCGACUCCGUUAGACUUGAUCCAAUGUGUUUGAAGUACAUCGAAAAUAAAUUUUAUCAUUUUUUUGAUAUCAUAAACCUAGUGAUCAAAAAAUGUUCAAAAUUAAUGACUGAAAAUAAAAUCUCAAAGAAAUUAAUGAUAUAACAUUAAAAUUUUCGAUCAGAGAUAUUCAUCUUGUUGAAAAUCGUAUAAAAAUUUUAUAUCAAAAUCUCAUCUGAUUUGAAUACUUCUACAUCGUUAAACUUGAAAACGACAUACAUCAACCAUUAAAUAUUAUUAAUUUUGAACCCUUUCGAUCUCUAGGUAUGUAAAUAAUAUCGAAAAAUCAUAAAUUUUAUUUUAUAGAUUUUUCAAAUACAUUAGAUUAAGUCUAAAUAAGUUGAUCGUCGACUCGAAAGUUUUAUCAUCGAAAAUGAUUUAGGAGUACAGCACUCUUACUCUCUCUCUCUCUAUAUAUAUAGAAUUAUGCUACUAUAUAUACUAUCGAUCAUAUCAAGGCUUGAUAGUAUUGAGUUUUUGGCCGUUGGAUGAAAGAAUGUGCGGUUAGGAUAAUAGUGGUCUAUAUAUAGAAUUAUGCUACUAUACUAUCGUACCAUACGUUUAGUACUAUCGAGUUUUCAACCGUUGGAUAAAAAGAUAUACGAUUAUAAUGAUAAUAGUCCCCUAGAGUUGAGUGGGUGGUUGGUUGAAUAGUAUAGUCUAACGUAUAAAAAUGAUUAAAGAAUAAAUUGAACAGCAGAGAAUUUGAUAGUAUCAAAAGUUUAAUAUUAUCGAUAGUAUAGUAACACAAUUUUCCCUCCCCUCUCUCUCUCUCUCUCUCUCUCUCAUCUUCUCUUCAUCUCCGUCCUCACUCUCUCUCUCUCCUCUCGCCCCUUCUCUCACCUCCCUAUAAUAUAUAAUAGUAUAUUAUAUAGUAUAUAUUAUAUUUAUAUAUAAAAUUGAGGUUCUAUGCUUUUAAAAGUACCAAAGUUAUUGCGUGCUUUAUAGAUUUUUGGCCAUUGGAUUAAGGAUGAGCCUCGUGGUUAGGAUGACGUGGGCCUCGCUAGGGUUGAUGUGGGUGGUUGGCUUGAAAUAGUAUAAAUGUAAGCGAUUUGAUAAAUGAUCAAAGGAUAAAUCUAACGGUUAAAAAUUUUACAAGCGCAAAGUGUUGAGUGCUUUUAGCAAGCCACCGUAGCGCGAGUUCUAUAUAUUAUAUAUAUAUAGAGGAGAGAUGAGACGAGAGAGAGAGAGGAGAGAGAGAGAGUUGAAGGUAGAUACUAUCUGAUAGCAAACGAGGCUUUCAUUGCCAUCAUGUUGUUUUCGAUGAUAUGAGCUCCAAAUCGACGAUCGUACCGUUGAACAUGAUUCUAUUUACCACUGAGUGUUAGAAUCAAAUUCAAAUCUUUUUCGACAUCAUUUAUGCCCUAAUGAUUCAAAGGGUUUCAAAAUUUAUAAUUUUAAGGCAUAAUAUGAGACGUUUCUCGUUUACAGAUAAAAGAUAUCCCAAAUCAAAUUAAUUUUGUUAGAAAAUUCUUUAAAUUGUUUAAAAAAGUAUCUAUACUCUUAUCUUAACUACAGCUCCUUAUCAUCAUUUUUAAAAAUAUUUAUUUUCAGCCGGUCAUUUUUGUGUCACUCGAUGAUAAGAGAAGCAAUAUCGUAAAUAUAUAAAAUUUGAUUUCUAAAUAAUUUCAAGUGGUAUAGAUCAUAUUCAACGGCUGCCGCGAUUAUUGAUUGAAGACUCCAUCAUUGAAAACAAUAUGAAGUGGCAACAGACGCGUUUGCUACGCGGAUAGUAUUUAGCUCAACUAUAUAUAUUACUAUAUAUAUAUUAUAUAUAUUAUAUAUAAUAUUAUAUAUACUAUAAUAUAUAUAUAUAUAUAUUAUAGAAAAUUAGCUGGACAAUAACUAUUAUAGUGAAAAGCUUGCUUUUUGGCUAUCACAGUUUUUAACCUCUUGAUGAAAAUUCUAAAGUCAGGAUUGAUAUUAGUCGUUAGGUUGAGGUGGUCCCCACUGGGUUAUAGUAUUUAAAUCCAAUGGUUAGAAAUAAUGAAAAGAUUGCAUCCAAAGGCUUAAAACUGUAGAACAUGGAAUUUUGCCUACUAAUAGUGCCCAUUCCAGACACUCUUAAUAUAUUAUAUAUAUAUAUAUAUAUAUAUACUAUAUAUUAUUAUAUAUAUAUAUAUAUAUAUAGAGAGGACGAAGACGACGAGAUCAUGAGAGAUGAGCACAGCUCGACCGUCCAGGCCCGAUUCUUCCACGGCCCCAUCUGUUCUGUCUUCUGCUCAGCUUCGUUCCUCAUCCUCGGCUCCUAGCGCGAAGACCACUUCGGAUCUGCCGCUCGAUUGACAUAGAGCCGCGUCGUCCUCGGGGCCUCCUCGUCUGCGUAUCGGGGGCCCUACUUUUCGCCCUUCGAGACCGGAGAGAGAGAGAGAGAGAGAGAGAGUUUGACUGGGCUACUAUUGGUAGUAAACUGCUCGGUUUACUACCGAUUUGUUUUUGAUGAUAGAGCUUCCAAAUCGACGAUCGGCACCGUUGAACAUGAUCUAGACCAUUUAAAUUAUCUAGAAAUCAAAUUUCAUAAUUUUUUGGCAUCACUAACUGAACGAUCAAAGGGUCACAAAAUCUAUAAUUUUAAUAGCUGAUAUGGUGCGUUUGCUCGUUUCACGGUAUAGAAAAAUUCAAAUAAACUAAAUUUUUGUGAAAAAAUUCUUUAAACUAUUUAAAAUAAGAUCUAGACUCUAGAUCUCAAAUAUAAAAAUUGUAUCAUCACUUUUUGAAGGAUAUUCAUUUCCAGCCAUUAAUUUAUCUGUUCACUUGAUGGACAAGAGAACAAUAUCGAAAAUUAUUGAAAUUUGAUUUCUAGAUAAUUUAAAUGGUCUAGAUCAUGUUCAACAGUGCCGAUCGUCGAUUUAGAAGCUCUAUCAUCAAAAACAAAUCGGUAGUAAACCGAGCAGUUUACUACCGAUAGUAGCCCAGUCAAACUCUCUCUCUCUCUCUCUCUCUCUCUC